UCUGAACUCACAUGCAUCCUCUCACUGUGACCUGAAUCUUUCCUUACCCUGUAAAGUCAAAGUCAAGAUCCAAGGACUGCAGAGACUCUGAAAAUGGACUGUGCUCUAGGACCAGUGAUUGUACUAGUCUUCAUGUUUGGAGGAAGCAAUGGAGACUCAGUGACCCAGACACAAGGUCAAAUGACCCUCCCUGAAGGGACUUCCCUGACGGUGAACUGUUCCUAUGAAACCUCACAGUACCCUGCCCUUUUCUGGUAUGUUCAAUACCCUGGAGAAGGUCCACAGCUCCUCCUGAAAGUCAUUAAGCAAAAUGAAAAAGGCAGCAACAAAGGUUUUGAAGCCACAUACAAGAAAGAAAGCUCCUCUUUCCACUUGGAGAAAGCCUCUGUCCAAGAAUCAGACUCGGCUGUGUACUACUGUGCUCUGGGUGACACAGUGGCAGAAACUGCAGGGGGAGCUGAGCACAAACUCUAA